rnacentral:rRNA from 1 species
ACGCUCGACACCUACGGGAGGCAGCAGUGGGGAAUAUUGGGCAAUGGGCGAAAGCCUGACCCAGCAACGCCGCGUGAAGGAAGAAGGCUUUCGGGUUGUAAACUUCUUUUAUCAGGGACGAAGGAUGUGACGGUACCUGAUGAAUAAGCCACGGCUAACUACGUGUCAGCGGCCGCGGUAAUCUGAGCGGGCUGGCAAGGC